rnacentral:rRNA from 1 species
UACAGAGGGUGCGAGCGUUGUCCGGAAUCAUUGGGCGUAAAGCGCGCGUAGGUGGCUUCGUAAGUCCGUUGUGAAAGUCAAAGGCUCAACCUUUGAAAGCCGAUGGAUACUGUGAAGCUAGAGUACGGAAGAGGCGAGUGGAAUUCCUGGUGUAGCGGUGGAAUGCGCAGAUAUCAGGAGGAACACCAAUAGCGAAGGCAGCUCGCUGGGACGUUACUGACACUGAGGCGCGAAAGCGUGGGGAGCGAACAGG